UACGAAGGGGGCUAGCGUUGCUCGGAAUGACUGGGCGUAAAGGGCGCGUAGGCGGUUUGUACAGUCAGAUGUGAAAUUCCUGGGCUCAACCUGGGGGCUGCAUUUGAUACGUGCGGACUUGAGUGAGGAAGAGGGUCGUGGAAUUCCCAGUGUAGAGGUGAAAUUCGUAGAUAUUGGGAAGAACACCGGUGGCGAAGGCGGCGACCUGGUCCUUGACUGACGCUGAGCGCGAAAGCGUGGGGAGCAAACAGG
rnacentral:rRNA from 1 species